GAUUAGAGUUUGAUCCUGGCUCAGGAUGAACGCUAGCGGCAGGCUCUAAUACAUGCAAGUUGUACGGGAUUUCGGGUAGCAAUACCUGGAUGAGAGUAGCGCACGGGUGCGUAACGCGUAUGCAACCUACCUUUAACCGGGACACAACCAUGAGAAAUUGUGGCUAAUAUCCCAUAACACUGCGAUGUGGCAUCACAGUGCAGUUAAAGCUCCGGCGGUUAUAGAUGGGCAUGCGUGACAUUAGCUAGUUGGUGAGGUAACGGCUCACCAAGGCUACGAUGUCUAGGGGUUCUGAGAGGAUUAUCCCCCACACUGGUACUGAGACACGGACCAGACUCCUACGGGAGGCAGCAGUAAGGAAUAUUGGGCAAUGGACGCAAGUCUGACCCAGCCAUGCCGCGUGAAGGAUGAAGGCCCUAUGGGUUGUAAACUUCUUUUAUACGGGAAAAAACCACCGGUCGUGUAUCGGUGCUGAUGGACCGAAGAAUAGCUCG
rnacentral:rRNA from 1 species